rnacentral:rRNA from 1 species
AAGCUGGCACCUCCGGUGUCCGCGUUGUAAUCUCGAGACGUGUUUUCCGUGCGGCUCUAUGGACAAGUCCCUUGGAAUAGGGCAUCGUAGAGGGUGAGAAUCCCGUACUUGCCAUGGAAGAACCGUGCUUUGCGAUACACGCUCUAAGAGUCGAGUUGUUUGGGAUUGCAGCUCAAAAUGGGUGGUAGACUCCAUCUAAAGCUAAAUAUCGGGGAGAGACCGAUAGCGAACAAGUACCGUGAGGGAAAGAUGAAAAGCACUUUGGAAAGAGAGUUAAAAGUACGUGAAAUUGUCGAAAGGGAAGCACUUGAAGUCAGCCAUGCUGCUUGAGACUCAGCCUGGCCUUUGGGCUUGGUGUAUUUCUCGGUGGCAAGCCAGCAUUGGUUUGGGUCGUCGGAGAAGCGCAUAGGGAAUGUAGCGUCUCCGGACGUGUUAUAGCCUUAUGCAGGAUACGACGACCUGGAUCAAGGAACGCAGUGUGCCCUCUGG